GCACCCGUGACGUAACAGGCAACCGUGGCAGACUUAAAAUCUGCUCCUCAUAAGAGGGUGAGGGUUCGAUUCCCUUCGGGUGUA
rnacentral:tRNA from 1 species